GCGGAGGAAAAGAAACUAACAAGGAUUCCCCUAGUAACGGCGAGUGAAGAGGGAAUAGCUCAAAUUUUGAAUCUGGCACCUUUGGUGUCCGAAUUGUAAUCUAGAGAAGUGUUUUCCGUGACGGACCGUGCAUAAGUCUCCUGGAAUGGAGCGUCAUAGAGGGUGAGAAUCCCGUAUAUGGCAUGGACUCCCGUUGCUCUGUGAUACACUCUCAACGAGUCGAGUUGUUUGGGAAUGCAGCUCUAAAUGGGUGGUAAAUGCCAUCUAAAGCUAAAUAUUGGCGAGAGACCGAUAGCGAACAAGUACCGUGAGGGAAAGAUGAAAAGCACUUUGGAAAGAGAGUGAAACAGUACGUGAAAUUGUUGAAAGGGAAACGCUUGAAGUCAGUCGCGCCGUUCGGGAUUCAGCCUUGCUUCUGCUCGGUUUACUUCCCGUUGGGUGGGUCAACAUCAGUUUUGGUCGGAGGAGAAAGACUUGGGGAAGGUAGCAGCAUUCGUGCUGUGUUAUAGCCCCUUGUUGUAUACUUCGGCUGGGACUGAGGAUCGCAGCACGCCUUUGGCCGGGGUUCGCCCACGUACGUGCUUAGGAUGUUGGCAUAAUGGCUCUAAGCGACC
rnacentral:rRNA from 1 species